rnacentral:rRNA from 1 species
GAUGAACGCUAGCGGCAGGCUUAACACAUGCAAGUCGAGGGGCAGCACGGGUAGCAAUACCUGGUGGCGACCGGCGCAAGGGUGCGUAACGCGUGAGCAACAUGCCCUAUACAGGGGGAUAAUCCAGGGAAACUUGGUCUAAUAUCCCAUAGUAUUUAGAGGAGGCAUCUUCUAUAAAUUAAAGCUUCGGUGGUAUAGGAUUGGCUCGCGUGACAUUAGCUAGAUGGUGAGGUAACGGCUCACCAUGGCAAUGAUGUCUAGGGGUUCUGAGAGGAAGGCCCCCCACACUGGGACUGAGACACGGCCCAGACUCCUACGGGAGGCAGCAGUGAGGAAUAUUGGACAAUGGAUGGAAAUCUGAUCCAGCCAUGCCGCGUGCAGGAAGACAGCCCUAUGGGUUGUAAACUGCUUUUAUAUGGGAGCAAAUAAGGUCUACGUGUAGACUGAUGAGAGUACCAUAUGAAUAAGC